GGGAGUCUCUCGACUGCUUCGCCAGUCAUUUUGCGCCGCGUGUGGCUUUUAUCAUGCAAGGAAAAAAAAUUACCGCACGGAGGCGCCGAGCAUGUCGCCACGAAGCAAACUCCGGCCGGACCCUCGCGUGCACCUUACGCGCAUGAUGGAGUCGGACAACCGCCGCUUACUCGCUACCUAUCAGGGGUGACGUCCUUGCCUCUCCACCAAAUCGAGGACAGGAGACCACCCAUCGCUCAGAUCGUGUUGCCUUCUUCUCCUCUUCUCACUGCUCCGGUCGGACGAGCCUCUCCCAAUCCCUCCUCGCCUCUCUGCUCGAGCCUCAUAUUGAUGUCCUGGUGAGUCCCCCCCACCACCCCAUCUGUGGCUUCGCAGAGCGGCCAGGCAUGGCUAUGGCUGGUGAGCACCGGUUAGCCAUCACCUUUUCCGCAUGCCAUCGCCGCCACUGCCAUCAUGGCCCUCGCGGAGGGACUGCUCGGAUCAGAGAUGGUGCCGCUGCCCUGAGGUACGAGGCAAGGAGAUGUACAGAACUGAAAGCUACUUGCUUUUCAUAUUUGGCGUAAAAUUUAGCUGGUGUGUUAACAUAAAUUGAAUGAAAUUUGCUCAUUAUUUUGAGUAGUUAUGUUACCAAUGGUAGCUUAUUUAAGAAUAGAUAAAGUUAGUAUUAUAAAAUUGUAGCUCUUGAACAUCUCAUGCACCUUCCUGUAUCUAUUAAGAUGCAUAUUUAUACCAUGUGUUUUAUGAGUAAAUGUGAUGUGCAUACAUGAGGUCAAUGCAGUUUUGUGAGAUACCAAAUUUGACCAGUUUUGGUCGAUAUAACUGCUUAUGGCGCAGCUGGCCUAUCAACAUGAUAACAUUCAGGAUCCACCAUAUCUUGCUUUAGUCACAUGAGAGGUGUAUCGAUUUUUUUUCUUUUGGCAGAUUAUAUUUUCUUGGAAUAUCAUCUUGAAGACAAAUAAGCAUUUACUUCCUCUUAUUUGUCUCAGCCUGGGCUUGAGUGCUUGAAAAGACGUGGUCAUAUCUUCAAUGCCUUUUCACAUGAGAGGUGCUAUGUUUACUGAUUAUAAUGGAUUCAACUGCAAUGCUUUAAGAUAGAGAUCAUGAUGCCAGUGCCAUAAUUUUUACAUUCAGUUAUUAUCAUUAUUUUAUGCACUUGGCAAUGUCAUCAUUAUGAUUUUAAAGGACAAAGUGCUUAUGGCCUAUUGACAACUGAUUUUAUUUCCAGUGGCUUCCUCCUGCACUUACAAAUACUUUUCUAUAGUUUCAAAAUGAUUUUAUUUCAAGUGGCUUCCUCCUGCACUUGGUAGUAUAUGGUACAUGCAUUACAAAUAUUACCAAUCAUUUUCUCCGCUGCACCACUCAAUAUCAAAUACUUUUCUAUAGUUCAAAAGAGUUUGAUUGCAAAAUUGUGUCAGGAAGGUAUAUGCACAUUCUUUCUGCUUGAUCUUGAGUUUUUUCAUUACAAGUUGGUGUUUCCACUGUGUUACUAUGUGAUUGAAGCAGCUUGCCAUUCCAAAAUACAGAAAACAUAGGGGCAAAUUUUCCAUUGCUGAAACAAGUUUAUCUCCAUUGUUAAUUUGAUGUUGGGGGUUUGACAUUAGCAUACCACAGUAAAGUUCAUCAAACAAUGGUUUGAUCCUUGCUUAUUUGAUUUAGUUGCAUUAGCGUGUUUAUCACAAGUUUACAUGUGCAUUGUUGCAUGUUCAGCAAAGGUAAUUCAUGAUCCUAUGUAUCACUUGGACAAAUUUAAAUGACUUAUCAUUUUUUAGAUUGUUGUAUAUUUCUAGAAUAUAUCUGUAGUUAGUUUAGUAGAUUUUGUUGUUACUGCAAAUUCUUAUAAUUUCUACUUAGGAUAUCUCAUAAAAAUCUCACAUUUGUUGUAGAUUUCUUUUAUCUAUAUGUUGUGUUGGUUGCUGAUUGGAGGCAAAAAGUUUAUGCUUCGAGAUAGUUUGGCACAUGUACCUUUUAUUAUGCUUCAUAUCAAAUUAUUUAUGUACGGAUGUAACAGAAAAUGAUCAUUUGUAGUAUUUUUCCCCUAUUUGAUAUAGCCAUCUAUUAAGUUUGACGGAACUGUAAAUAUACCUGCUAUAUAUGAACAAGAACUACCACAUUUAUUUU